UACAGAGGUCCCGAGCGUUGUUCGGAUUCACUGGGCGUAAAGGGUGCGUAGGUGGCUGGGAAAGUUUGAUGUGAAAGCUCAGGGCUUAACCCUGAAAUGGCAUUGAAUACUGCCUGGCUGGAGGUUUGGAGGGGGACUGGAAUUCUUGGUGUAGCAGUGAAAUGCGUAGAUAAUCAAGAGGAACACCAGUGGCGAAGGCGAGUCCCUGGACAACACCUGACACUGAGGCACGAAAGCCGGGGGAGCAA
rnacentral:rRNA from 1 species